rnacentral:rRNA from 1 species
GACGAACGCUGGCGGCGUGCUUAACACAUGCAAGUCGAGCGGAGCGGCAAACGGGUGAGUAACGCGUGAGUAACUGCCCCCCUCUCUGGGAUAACAGUUGGAAACGGCUGCUAAUACCGGAUAGUGGGGGAUGACUCGCGUCCUAUCAGCUUGUUGGUGGGGUAGUGGCCUACCAAGGCGACGACGGGUCGCCGGCCUGCGCGGGCGACCGGCCACAUUGGGCUGAGAUACGGCCCAAACUCCGACGGGAGGCAGCAUGGGGGUAUAUUGCACAAUGGGUGAAACCCUGAUGCAGGAACGCCGCGUGCGGGGUUACGGCCGUCGGGUUGUAAACCGCUUUCAGCCAUGACGCGGUAGUAGCAGAAGAAGCACCGGCUAACUACGUGCCAGCAGUCGCGGUAAUAC